CAGUCGCCGCGGUAAUACGAAGGGGGCUAGCGUUGUUCGGAUUAACUGGGCGUAAAGGGCGCGUAGGCGGCGAUCAAAGUCAGGCGUGAAAUUCCUGGGCUCAACCUGGGGGCUGCGCUUGAUACUUGGUUGCUUGAGUGGGGAAGAGGGUCGUGGAAUUCCCAGUGUAGAGGUGAAAUUCGUAGAUAUUGGGAAGAACACCGGUGGCGAAGGCGGCGACCUGGUCCUUGACUGACGCUGAGGCGCGAAAGCGUGGGGAGCAAACAGGAUUAGAUACCCGCGUAGUCCCUGUCUCUUAUAC
rnacentral:rRNA from 1 species